rnacentral:rRNA from 1 species
GGGUUGUGAGGUUAAGCGACUAAGCGUACACGGUGGAUGCCCUGGCAGUCAGAGGCGAUGAAGGACGUGCUAAUCUGCGAUAAGCGUCGGUAAGGUGAUAUGAACCGUUAUAACCGGCGAUUUCCGAAUGGGGAAACCCAGUGUGUUUCGACACACUAUCAUUAACUGAAUCCAUAGGUUAAUGAGGCGAACCGGGGGAACUGAAACAUCUAAGUACCCCGAGGAAAAGAAAUCAACCGAGAUUCCCCCAGUAGCGGCGAGCGAACGGGGAGCAGCCCAGAGCCUGAAUCAGUGUGUGUGUUAGUGGAAGCGUCUGGAAAGGCGCGCGAUACAGGGUGACAGCCCCGUACACAAAAAUGCACAUGCUGUGAGCUCGAUGAGUAGGGCGGGACACGUGGUAUCCUGUCUGAAUAUGGGGGGACCAUCCUCCAAGGCUAAAUACUCCUGACUGACCGAUAGUGAACCAGUACCGUGAGGGAAAGGCGAAAAGAACCCCGGCGAGGGGAGUGAAAAAGAACCUGAAACCGUGUACGUACAAGCAGUGGGAGCACGCUUAGGCGUGUGACUGCGUACCUUUUGUAUAAUGGGUCAGCGACUUAUAUUCUGUAGCAAGGUUAACCGAAUAGGGGAGCCG